rnacentral:piRNA from 1 species
UAGUUGUGCCCAUGCUGAGCUCUCAU